UUGCUGCUCUCAGGCCUAGCAAGAUGGCCGCAGGUUUGAAAUCGAGUUCAUCUACAGCUCCUCCUUGCAGCCGAUUCCAUUAGCCUGACCUCUGAAUUCCACCCAGUAAAAGGACUCAGAUCUCACAUGGAAGGACACCAUUAUUACUGCUAAGAUGGUCUGCUAGAAAUUGUUUCUCUUGCUAAAACACACCGAACUCACCCUGUUCCAGCGGAGGCCGAUCCAGCCAAUGAGAAGCACUGGAAGAGAUGGAAUCUGGUGAAACAGUGGCAACCAGUGGCCGAUGAAGGGCUCUGACCAAGAUGAGGUGGUUCCAGGAUUCUAACCAGGCUCUCACCAGUGGAAUCAGCAUUUCUGAUGAGCUGCCUGCCCAGAGCUGUGUGCGUCCGUGGGUCUGUCUUUUAAUUCAAUGUGACAUUGUUUUCCUCUUCUUAAGUCAUAGAGCAAGCAGAGCCUGUCAUUCUGACCAUUUUAAACCAUGGGAUGGUAGCAAAUGUCUUAACAUAGUAAGAAGCCCCUCGAUAUCUUCCAGCAGUGGGUUAGCUCUCCUGAAGUCUGGCAGCAAGGUUCAGUAGCCUCUUGUGAGGAGGGAGUCAGAGACUUGGAUUCUGGUCCUGGCAAGACCAACCUUCAGCGUCCCCAUGGGUAAAAUGCCUCUUCUUUUCUUCCUGGGAAUCUUAGGAGGAUGCACUGAGGGAGUCACUAUGAAAGCCCAGAGGAGGAUCAUGCUGUUGAUGAAGAUGCCAAAUGGGGAUCCGGGAUAAAAAUAAAUUCUCAUUUAGUGGGAAGGACCUCUUUAAGAAUUCAAAUGGCAGCAAACCUAGCUUCCAAAUAUGAGGUCCAAGUGGCAUCCUGGACUUUCCCUCCUAUUCCCUCCAUGCCAGUAUUUAUGGUGCGCAUUCCCCGGUGGGCCCUUGAAGCAUUCCCUAGACCAUAAUAAAUGUGUGGUGAGUUUCGGCAAGAGGUGUAGGGUUCAAAAGAGAGAUGUAUAAAUGGAGUUCCCUCUACCUACCUGCCUCUAGGUUCACCUGUUUACUUGACUCUUCAGGGCAAGUGGGACCAAUGGAAUGUCACCAAAUUGAGGAUUGCAGUGAGCAGGGGCAUAUUUUUACAAGGUUACCUCUGCUUCUUCCUGGCUCAAUUUUGUUUCCUAACCAAACACUCGGCUUUCUUUUAUUAAUCAUUAUCCUGGCUACAGUGCCUUUCCCAGCUGGCUUCAGACUAAGAGGCCAAAUGUUGGAUUUGCCGCUUAGAUAUUCAUGGUCAAAGCAAAUGACCCUGCCUUGGCUAGACAGUCUGUCUGGGUCCAUAUCAGCCAAAUGACAAUUGCCCAGGGAAUUUGGGCAAUGUAGACAGCUAAACUGGGAAAUUCAGUCUCUCUAGUCAGACAGAGAUAUAUUUCUAGGCAUUGAUACAUUGAUGUGAAUGGACAUGGUGAGGCUUCCAAAGUCUUUUCCCCUCUGAUAUAUUUCUAUGCAUCUAUAUGUUGAUGUGGAUUUACAUAGUGAGCCUUCAUAUUUUUAAUAUGUGCAAUAAAUGGUGACACAACAUUCUGAAACUAAGAGUGCUCAUCACCUUUUAUCCACCUUGAAAGCACGCAGUCAGAGAGCUUUUAUGUAAGCUCCUUGAGGGCAGUGAUUGUAUCUCCUACUUUAUUGUCCUCUCAAGGGAUUUGGGCACAGUAAGUGCCAAAUAAGUACCGUGGAUUGAUUGCUUGAUGGACAUAAAACCCCUAUGCUCCUUACAUAUGCACUCCAGGCCAAUAAUUUUGUAUGAUAUCUGGAUGGUUGCUUGUUUCAUUUUGUCUCCAAAACUGCAUCCUCUCUAAUAAUAAUUAUAAUAAUAAUAAUGGCAUUUGUUAAGCACUUACCAUGUGUUGGGGAAGAUACAAGCAAAUCAAGCCGCAAAGCUGGGAUUAGAACCCAGGUCUUUCUGACUCCCAACUCCAUGCUCUAUCCACUAGGCCACAGAAGUGCAGUUGUUUAUAAGUAUCUUUUGUUUCUUGGGGCAUAUGUGUGUGCAUGUGGGUGUGGGGGAGGGUGUGUUUGAACUGUAUCCCAGCAGACCAUCUGAUGGUUGCUGUAUCCUUCAGACCUGGACGACAUCAUCUAGCAGCCUCGCCUCUUCAUUUGGCUAAUGAAAUUAGUCCUGUUAAUGAGCACUCUCUCAACCUUCUUUAUCUACUGAACAUAUUGGCGAGUACCUGAGCCCGCAUAUUCAUAAAUGGUUUUUCAAUAGUACUUGGGUUUUUACAGAUAUCAAUAGCUAUUAGCUGUCUUAAUCCUCAUGUUUCUAUGCACCUGACUGGAGAAUACUUGAACAUCAGCUAAGUGGCCCAGAGAGAAUGGGAGCAAGUCCUGGAACAGUGCUGUACUCCCAUGGGACUGGUAAGAUGGCUAGUAAAAUGGACAAACGGCUAAUGCAGAUGACCAAGCGAUGGAUCCUAACAGGGAGAAGCCACUGAAACUUGGCCACACUCACUAGUAAAAUGCUGAUGACAUCACCUACCCCAGCGGAUUAUUUUCAGUUUGCCCUCAGGCUGGAGAUUGUGCUUUUUUGGAUGGACAACCAUUUUGCAGGGUGAAGAAUAAUCUCAGUAGCCUGUAGUGAGAGGACCUGUGUACUUCUUCCUUCAAUAAAAAUGUUCUUCUCACUCAUUCGGAAAAUCA